GACGAACGCUGGCGGCGUGCUUAACACAUGCAAGUCGAACGGAAAGGCCUGCUUUCCCUUGUGGAUUGCGGGUACUCGAGUGGCGAACGGGUGAGUAACACGUGAGUGAUCUGCCCCCAACUUGGGUAUAAGCCUGGGAAACUGGGUCUAAUUCCCGAUAGGACUGCAGGGUGGUGCCUGUGGUGGAAAACGAUUUUCUAGUGGUUGGGGAUGAGCUCGCGGCCUAUCAGCUUGUUGGUGGGGUAAUGGCCUACCAAGGCGGCGACGGGUAGCCGGCCUGAGAGGGUGGACGGCCACAUUGGGACUGGGAUCCGGCCCAGACUCCUACGGGAGGCAGCAGUGGGGAAUAAUGCACAAUGGGCGUAAGCCUGAUGCAGCGACGCCGCGUGGGGGAUGACGGCCUUCGGGUUGUAAACUCCUUUCGACCGCGAGGAAGCCACCUGGUUGGAAGGGUGGUGACGGUAGUGGUAGGAGAAGCACCGGCUAACUACGUG
rnacentral:rRNA from 1 species